rnacentral:lncRNA from 1 species
CUUGCUCGAAGCUUUAAGACCUCUCGCCCAAGUUUGCCUCUUCCCGACCCCGAGCUUUCCUUUCAGGAAGAAGGUGAGUUGCCGACCCUAAGUCCGCCUCGCCCGACCCCUCCUAUCCGCCUGACCCCGGUUCCGUCUCGUCCGACCCUGUCUGUUCCGCCGACCCUUAUCCGCCUCGCCCGAGGGCUUGGCUGUGAUCUUUUUCUUCAACUCGAGGGUGUAUGUGUAAAACUUGGGAACCCUUCAGCGCUUGCGUCUGAGGAUCCCAGUUAUCACAUCCUCUAGUUCAAGGAUCAGACGACUAGUUCCUUCCUACCCUUACCUCUUGAUCAUCAUCAGCU